GUGCUUACUUUGACAGCACAUAUACUAAAAUUAGAAUGAUACAGAGAAGAUUAGCAUGGCACCUGUGCAAUGAUGACACGCAAGUUUGUGAAGCAUACAAUAUUUUU
ensembl:snRNA U6 U6 spliceosomal RNA